CACCAGAGCCGCUAACUUCAAGUUCUUGUACGAGGCCCAUAUUCAAAAUCGUCUAAAUACCUAUACCAAUAACAACAUGUCUCGAUGUGUGUGUCGUACGUAGGUCUUGAAAGAUACACACGCCAAUAAAUAGGUAAAACGACCGACAUUAUGUGUAUACGGGCAACCUCCGGCCAGCAUCCAGGACCGCCACGGGUACACCGACAGGAUCGCGGAGGGGCGCAGCUCGCUCGUUG